rnacentral:rRNA from 1 species
CGUCUAUAUACGUAUAGCAUAUCAAUAAGCGGAGGAAAAGAAACUAACAAGGAUUCCCCUAGUAACGGCGAGUGAAGCGGGAAGAGCUCAAAUUUGAAAUCUUAAAGGGUUUCCCUUUACGAAUUGUAGUUUAAAGAAGUGUUUUCUGUUAGAGAGUUCGGUAAAAGUUCUUUGGAAUAGGACAUCAUAGAGGGUGAGAAUCCCGUAUUUGAUCACUUUCUACUAGCUUUGUGAUACACUUUCAAAGAGUCGGAUUGUUUGGGAAUGCAGUCCAAAAUGGGUGGUAAAUUUCAUCUAAAGCUAAAUACUGGCGAGAGACCGAUAGCGAACAAGUACCGUGAGGGAAAGAUGAAAAGAACUUUGAAAAGAGAGUUAAACAGUACGUGAAAUUGUCAAAGGGAAGCGUUUGACACCAGUGUUGUUUAGUUCGAAAAUCAAUUAAGAAUGUUGUGAUUUUGAGGAGUAUUGACUUUAUCAGGCUUGCUGCUUUCUUUUCAUGAAAUUAUUUAAUGCACUUUUCAGGUUAACAAGUCAACAUCAAUUUCUUUUGUUGUAAAAGAGUAUGAGGAAGGUGGCUUGCUCUUCGGCGCAAGUGUUUAUAGCCUUGUACCUCUGCAAUCGGAGAGAUUGAGGACUGCAGCGUAGACUCUUCGGGGUUAGAUACACUUUGUGCUAAGUUAUAGCCUUUUCAUAGACAACUUGUUGACUAUAGCUCAGUCUCGUAGCUUACUCGCUAGAUAGUAUUUUACCUACGCUUAGGAUGUUGACACACGCGCGUGCUCG